rnacentral:rRNA from 1 species
GCUUGUCUCAAAGAUUAAGCCAUGCAUGUCUUAGUGUAAAUAACUCUUAUGAAACUGCGAAUGGCUCAUUAAAUCAGUUAUCGUUUAUUUGAUGGUCCCUUACUACAUGGAUAACCGUAGUAAUUCUAGAGCUAAUACAUGCAAAAAGCCUGGACUUCUGGAACAGGCGUAUUUAUUAGAUAUACAAACCAACCGCUUCGGCGACCCUUGGUGACUCAUAAUAACUUCGCGAAUCGUUUUCGGACGAUGAUUCAUUCAAAUUUCUGCCCUAUCAUGCUCUCGAUGGUAGUGUAUUGGACUACCAUGGCUCUCACGGGUAACGGGGAAUUAGGGUUCGAUUCCGGAGAAGGAGCCUGAGAAACGGCUACUACAUCUAAGGAAGGCAGCAGG